rnacentral:ncRNA from 2 species
AUCAGUGACACGGGGUGUCGGAGAAGCCGACUGAGAUGAGACCCGUUGAACCUGAACUAGGUCAAGCUAGCGGAGGGAUGUCGCAUGACUCUGCC